AUAAUAAUAAUAAUAAAAAGAACAACUCAAUUACAGUGAAGAAACGUAAUUAUACCAAUUUUUGUUUUAGCUUAAUGAAAAUGACAAGCAAGGUUGUUGAGCUCUAUCUGAUACAGUUAUGAACUAGAAAAGCUGACGUACAACAUCCAACAUCGAAGGCAAAUGAAACAAAAAAUUUCAAAUUUGAACUAAAAAAGCUAGUGCUUACUUUGAACUUCCCUGAGUUUCCUUGAAUUUUGGCUCUCAACAAUCUUCAAAAUCAAUGAU
rnacentral:misc_RNA from 1 species